rnacentral:tRNA from 1 species
UCCCUCGUGGUUCAGUGGCUAAGACUCUGUGUUCACAAUGCAGGGGGCUCAGGCUCAAUCCCUGAUUGGGGAA